rnacentral:rRNA from 1 species
GACGAACGCUGGCGGCGUGCCUAAUACAUGCAAGUAGAACGCUGAAGGAGGAGCUUGCUUCUCUGGAUGAGUUGCGAACGGGUGAGUAACGCGUAGGUAACCUGCCUGGUAGCGGGGGAUAACUAUUGGAAACGAUAGCUAAUACCGCAUAAUAUUGACUAUUGCAUGAUAGUCAGUUGAAAGGUGCAACUGCACCACUACCAGAUGGACCUGCGUUGUAUUAGCUAGUUGGUGGGGUAACGGCUCACCAAGGCGACGAUACAUAGCCGACCUGAGAGGGUGAUCGGCCACACUGGGACUGAGACACGGCCCAGACUCCUACGGGAGGCAGCAGUAGGGAAUCUUCGGCAAUGGACGGAAGUCUGACCGAGCAACGCCGCGUGAGUGAAGAAGGUGUUCGGAUCGUAAAGCUCUGUUGUAAGAGAAGAACGAGUGUGAGAGUGGAAAGCUCACACUGUGACGGUAUCUUACCAGAAAGGGACGGCUAACUACGU